CUGUAGCUCAGUGGUUAAGCACCUGUUUUGCAUGCAGAAGGUUCCAAGUUCUAAUCCUGGCAUCUCUAGG